CUGGUGAGAAGAAUGCACAGAGCAGAUUAUGAGGCUGGAGGCCCCCUGUGCCCAGAUGACCUGCCAGCCCCCUCCCCUUCCCUCCCCCGCCAUUCUUUCCCUUCCCACUUCUGGUCCUCCCUUAGCGUCUUUCACUUUGUUUUCUGCUUGCACCUUUCUCUUUUUUCUUUUACCUUCCACCUCCAUCUCUCUUCACUAAAGCAACCAAGGACAAGGGUUAAUAUUUGACAGAAUAAACGUCCCGAUAAUUCGGUAAGGGAUGUGUAACGAGGGAGCUGGAGAGACAGCUGCACCCCCUCUGCAAAGGGGAUUUUCAGAGCAAGCCCAGGCAAGAGCCCUCUGUUCUUGAUGACUGUCUGUUAUUUCCACUCAGGAGAUUAUUCCCAAGUGAUUAUUAAAGGUGCUUAUUUGCCUUGCAGGCAAGGUGUGGCCAGAGCCUGGGGUGCCCAGGUGGUCAGAGAAGAGCCAUUGCAGGGAAAGGGCGCUUCUGGAAUUGAAACUAAGGGAGAUGGUACAGUUGACACAAGGCAGAAACUGAGAAGGAGGCAAGCAUGAUGAUCCAGAACAAACCGGCUACCGAGCUUCUACCUGGAGGAUGAGGCCUGGAACUGGGGCAGCCACCUGUCAAGCAACAGAGCAUGGAGCCAGCAAAGGACAGAGGGCCAUACAGAUGGCCAGAGCCAAAGCACUCCACCCUAUUUCUGGUUUUCCUGUGCUGUAAACCAAUAAAUUUAUUAUUCAAACA